rnacentral:rRNA from 1 species
GAUGAACGCUGGCGGCGUGCCUAAUACAUGCAAGUCGAGCGAACAGAUGAGGAGCUUGCUCCUCUGACGUUAGCGGCGGACGGGUGAGUAACACGUGGAUAACCUACCUAUAAGACUGGGAUAACUUCGGGAAACCGGAGCUAAUACCGGAUAAUAUAUUGAACCGCAUGGUUCAAUAGUGAAAGACGGUUUUGCUGUCACUUAUAGAUGGAUCCGCGCCGCAUUAGCUAGUUGGUAAGGUAACGGCUUACCAAGGCAACGAUGCGUAGCCGACCUGAGAGGGUGAUCGGCCACACUGGAGCUGAGACACGGUCCAGACUCCUACGGGAGGCAGCAGUAGGGAAUCUUACGCAAUGGGCGAAAGCCUGACGGAGCAACGCCGCGUGAGUGAUGAAGGUCUUCGGAUCGUAAAACUCUGUUAUUAGGGAAGAACAAAUGUGUAAGUAACUAUGCACGUCUUGACGGUACCUAAUCAGAAAGCCACGGCUAACUACGUG